rnacentral:rRNA from 1 species
GAUUUCUGGUAUGAUGCCCCUGAUCCGUGCCCCUUACGGGGUAUGUGUGUUGGUGUGGCGUCUGCCAUCUUUUGUGUAGAUGCUUUGUCCAUAUAGGGGCCUUUACUGGUUCUUGUUGGCUUAGGUUAUCAUCUACAUCUUUUACUUUGAAAAAAUUAGAGUGUUUAAAGCAGGCUUUUAGCCCUUGAAUACAUUAGCAUGGAAUAAUAAUAUAGGACUUCGGUUCUAUUUUGUUGGUUUCUAGUACUGAAGUAAUGAUUGAUAGGGAUAGUUGGGGGUGCUAGUAUUCAGCGGCCAGAGGUGAAAUUCUUGGAUUCGCUGAAGACUAACUUAUGCGAAAGCAUU